rnacentral:rRNA from 1 species
UACGGAGGGUGCAAGCGUUAUCCGGAUUCACUGGGUUUAAAGGGUGCGUAGGCGGGCAGGUAAGUCAGUGGUGAAAUCCCUGAGCUCAACUUGGGAAUUGCCGUUGAUACUAUCUGUCUUGAAUAUCGUGGAGGUGAGCGGAAUAUGUCAUGUAGCGGUGAAAUGCUUAGAUAUGACAUAGAACACCCAUUGCGAAGGCAGCUCACUACACGAUAAUUGACGCUGAGGCACGAAAGCGUGGGGAGCAAACAGG